UCGAUUCGCGCUAUCAGCAAUGGCGACCGCGACACACCGAUUUAAGUAUAUUAUAUCACCGAUAAGCGAUAAACGACGAUGAUGACGACCGACAGCGAUCCACUGCCGUGCCGGCAGGGCUGACCACUGAUUGAAAGAGCGUUGCGAGUUUGCUAGCACGUCGAAUUCCCUUUCUUCGAACCGAACGUCAAGGGAGGGAUUAACUUUCGCCGCGGCAAGAACGAUCGAAAACAGAUUAUUACACGAUUUCGUGGAGAAAGAUGAAUAUCCCUUGGGAUGAACGCCAAUUCACAAGACUUAUAGAAAUGUGAUUGUCCUUUAUGAUAAGGGACCGGGCGCAACCCGACGCCAGCUCUCCGCCUUCUCGUGGUCCUCGCUCUCACGCCCCGCU